rnacentral:ncRNA from 1 species
AUUCUGGUUGAUCCUGCCAGUAGUUAUAUGCUUGUCUCAAAGAUUAAGCCAUGCAUGUCUAAGUACACACGAAUUAAAAGUGAAACCGCAAAAGGCUCAUUAUAUCAGUUAUGGUUCCUUAGAUCGUUAACAGUUACUUGGAUAACUGUGGUAAUUCUAGAGCUAAUACAUGCAAUUAAAACAUGAACCUUAUGGGACAUGUGCUUUUAUUAGGCUAAAACCAAGCGAUCGCAAGAUCGUUAUAUUGGUUGAACUCUAGAUAACAUGCAGAUCGUAUGGUCUUGUACCGACGACAGAUCUUUCAAAUGUCUGCCCUAUCAACUUUUGAUGGUAGUAUCUAGGACUACCAUGGUUGCAACGGGUAACGGGGAAUCAGGGUUCGAUUCCGGAGAGGGAGCCUGAGAAACGGCUACCACAUCUAAGGAAGGCAGCAGGCGCGUAAAUUACCCACUGA